UUUUUGAAAUUCCAUGGAUACUGCCAUUCAAGCGUUGAAGAAGGAUUAACUUGCUUCUGAUCUGUUUCCUGCCUUCAGACGAGACCCAAGGCUCUCGGGCACGCAUGGCAGAGUUUGAUUCGAUGGAGUGUAAACCUGGGCAAGACGAGCGCAAAGAGAGAUUGAGCUAGGAUUUCCGUGAAAACUAAACCGAAUGUUUUGGAAAGGCUUGAUAAAGGGUUAUCCUGAGUGAGGCCAUCAGCCUCUGGGAGCCUCCGUUGACGUGUGACAUGCAGAUACAAGUGCCUACCCUGCAAGAAUGAUGAAAGGAAUAGAAAUAAUGAAAAGCAG
rnacentral:lncRNA from 1 species